GGGCCCGAAGACCCUGAAAACCCCUCACUUCCCCACGGAAGCAGCGCGCUCAUAACGGUCUGGUUGCAGGUUCGAGUCCUGCCGGGCCCACCA
rnacentral:tRNA from 1 species